rnacentral:rRNA from 1 species
GAUGAACGCUGGCGGCGCGCCUAACACAUGCAAGUCGAACGGCACCUGCCUUCGGGCAGAAGCGAGUGGCGAACGGCUGAGUAACACGUGGAGAACCUGCCCCCUCCCCCGGGAUAGCCGCCCGAAAGGACGGGUAAUACCGGAUACCCCCGGGCGCCGCAUGGCGCCCGGGCUAAAGCCCCGACGGGAGGGGAUGGCUCCGCGGCCCAUCAGGUAGACGGCGGGGUGACGGCCCACCGUGCCGACAACGGGUAGCCGGGUUGAGAGACCGACCGGCCAGAUUGGGACUGAGACACGGCCCAGACUCCUACGGGAGGCAGCAGUGGGGAAUCUUGCGCAAUGGGGGGAACCCUGACGCAGCGACGCCGCGUGCGGGACGGAGGCCUUCGGGUCGUAAACCGCUUUCAGCAGGGAAGAGUCAAGACUGUACCUGCAGAAGAAGCCCCGGCUAACUACGUGCCAGCAGCCGCGGUAAUACGUAGGGGGCGAGCGUUAUCCGGAUUCAUUGGGCGUAAAGCGCGCGUAGGCGGCCCGGCAGGCCGGGGUCUCAAAACCGGGGGGCUCAACCCCCCGAAGCCCCCGGAACCUCCGCGGCUUGGGUCCGGUAGGGGAGGGUGGAACACCCGGUGUAGCGGUGGAAUGCGCAGAUAUCGGGUGGAACACCGGUGGCGAAGGCGGCCCUCUGGGCCGAGACCGACGCUGAGGCGCGAAAGCUGGGGGAGCGAACAGGAUUAGAUACCCUGGUAGUCCCAGCCGUAAACGAUGGACGCUAGGUGUGGGGGGACGAUCCCCCCGUGCCGCAGCCAACGCAUUAAGCGUCCCGCCUGGGGAGUACGGCCGCAAGGCUAAAACUCAAAGGAAUUGACGGGGGCCCGCACAAGCAGCGGAGCAUGUGGCUUAAUUCGAAGCAACGCGAAGAACCUUACCAGGGCUUGACAUAUGGGUGAAGCGGGGGAGACCCCGUGGCCGAGAGGAGCCCAUACAGGUGGUGCAUGGCUGUCGUCAGCUCGUGUCGUGAGAUGUUGGGUUAAGUCCCGCAACGAGCGCAACCCCCGCCGCGUGUUGCCAUCGGGUGAUGCCGGGAACCCACGCGGGACCGCCGCCGUCAAGGCGGAGGAGGGCGGGGACGACGUCAAGUCAUCAUGCCCCUUAUGCCCUGGGCUGCACACGUGCUACAAUGGCCGGUACAGAGGGAUGCCACCCCGCGAGGGGGAGCGGAUCCCGGAAAGCCGGCCCCAGUUCGGAUUGGGGGCUGCAACCCGCCCCCAUGAAGUCGGAGUUGCUAGUAAUCGCGGAUCAGCAUGCCGCGGUGAAUGCGUUCCCGGGCCU